rnacentral:tRNA from 1 species
GGAGGAGUAGCGAAGAGGUCAUAACGCGGCGGUCUUGAAAACCGUUUGGGGGCAACCCCACGGAGGUUCGAAUCCUCUCUCCUCCGCCA